UGUGACUGCGUACCUUUUGUAUAAUGGGUCAGCGACUUAAUUUUAGUAGCAAGGUUAACCGUUUAGGGGAGCCGUAGGGAAACCGAGUCUUAACUGGGCGUACAGUUGCUAGGAUUAGACCCGAAACCAGGUGAUCUAGCCAUGGGCAGGUUGAAGGUUGAGUAACAUCAACUGGAGGACCGAACCGACUAAUGUUGAAAAAUUAGCGGAUGACUUGUGGCUAGGGGUGAAAGGCCAAUCAAACCUGGAGAUAGCUGGUUCUCCCCGAAAGCUAUUUAGGUAGCGCCUCGGACGAAUACUACUGGGGGG
rnacentral:ncRNA from 2 species